GAUGAAGAACGUAGCGAAAUGCGAUAAGUAGUGUGAAUUGCAGAAUUCAGUGAAUCAUCGAAUCUUUGAACGCACAUUGCGCCUCCUGGUAUUCCGGGAGGCAUGCCUGUUCGAGCGUCAUUAAAAUCACUCAAGCUUAGGUUUACCUAUUGCUUGGUCUUGGAGAUGGAAGCCAAUUUAUUGGAAUCCUCUUCGAAAUUCAAUGGCGAAGACCCUUGCUCUCCCAAGUGUAGUAAUAACUUAUGUCACUGAAGGAAGCGAGAAAUCUUCUGCCGUAACCCCCAUGUUUUCUAUGAUUGACCUCGGAUCAGGUAGGGAUACCCGCUGAACUUAAGCAUAUCAAUAAGCGGAGGA
rnacentral:misc_RNA from 1 species